UGAGCUCUCAUAUAUUUAGCUCUGAAUCAUAUUCCUGCUGCAUGACUCGCCCAUCUCUCUCCACCAGAAAUCCUUUUAUUUUUUUCUAAAACAACACUGUUCUGAAAAGAGAAAGGGAAGUUUGCAUCCCUCUCAUUUCUCCGCACUGCAGCAGGGUGGGGAGGCUGAAUGUGAGGCUCUCUGUUCGCAUUGGGUAUAUUGAUCUGGCUGAGGCAGCUCCUCUCUGAGCCGCACCUGAAAUAGCACUGUCAGAGAGAAGAAGAGAGCUGCUGCCGGGGGGAAAGAGAGAGACACGAGGGGGGACAUGUCCUUUCCAGGGGACUAAUGGAAAACAAUGGCAUGUUAAAUCCUGUCCUGCACUGGUCAAGCCUCUGAACACCUCAACUCUUGCCUCAUUCAAUCACUGCUGUGAUCCCUUUCCAACACGGUGUAAGUAGCCCUCUCAUUCCCAUUCCCAUUCCCCAUAAUCUUGUACUAUAAAUGUCUUCAUUAAAUGCUUUAGGUUCAAAUAAUUAGUUUGACAAUUUUUGAAACACACUUUGUUGUCUCCGUGCAUUACACGCCUACACCGUGGGUCUCCCAUCCUCCUCAAUUUUUCAAGUCACCAGCCUCCACUGUUGUGUGUGCGCGUCUGCAGAAUGUUCACAUGUUUUCAUGUAAAAAAAAAAGACAAAAAACCCAUCUUGAAAUGAUGCAAAGCACAUAAUACC